GUAGGGAAUAUUGCGCAAUGGGGGAAACCCUGACGCAGCGACGCCGCGCGAGUGAUGAAGGCCUUCGGGUCGUAAAGCUCUGUUGCAGGGGAAUAAAAAAAUGAAGGUACCCUGUGAGGAAGGAUCGGCUAACUUCGUGCCAGCAGCCGCGGUAAGACGAGGGAUCCUAGCGUCGCUCGGAAUCAUUGGGCGUAAAGAGGGCGUAGGUGGCUUGGUAAGUCAGGUGUGAAAUCCCAGGGCUCAACCCUGGAAGUGCAUUUGAUACUGGUGAGCUUGAGUGUCGGAGAGGUUACCGGAAUACCUGGUGUAGUGGUGAAAUACGUAGAUAUCAGGUGGAACACCGGAGGCGAAGGCGGGUAACUGGACGAACACUGACACUGAGGCCCGAAAGCGUGGGGAUCAAACAGGAUUAGAAACCCCGGUAGUCC
rnacentral:rRNA from 1 species